GACGUAGGGGGCCAGCGUUGCUCGGAAUUACUGGGUGUAAAGGGUUCGUAGGCGGUGUGGCAAGUCGGGAGUGAAAUCUCUGGGCUCAACCCAGAGUCUGCUUCCGAAACUGCUGUGCUUGAGUGUGGGAGAGGCGCGUGGAAUUGCAGGUGUAGCGGUGAAAUGCGUAGAUAUCUGCAGGAACACCCGUGGCGAAAGCGGCGCGCUGGACCACUACUGACGCUGAAGAACGAAAGCUAGGGGAGCAAACAGG
rnacentral:rRNA from 1 species